rnacentral:rRNA from 1 species
UACGUAGGCGGGAAAUUAAGUCAGUAGUGAAAUCCCACAGCUUAACUGUGGAACUGUUAUUGAUACUGGUUUUCUUGAAUAUAGUUGAGGUAGGCGGAAUGUGUAAUGUAGCGGCGAAAUGCUUAGAUAUUACACAGAACACCGAUUGCGAAGGCAGCUUACUAAGCUAUGAUUGACGCUAAGGUACGAAAGCGUGGGGGGCGAACAGGAUUAGAUACCCUGGUAGUCC